ensembl:lncRNA
CGCACUUGUUGAGUUUGGGAACUUUCAGAGGCUUGAACUUCUCACUUAGGACGCAGCGGAGCUCUCUCAUCAUCAUCAAAUUCAGGCGAAGUGGAUUUAUGCUGACUUUUUACGUCUGGGACUAUGUUUUGCUUUGUCGAAGUGGUUUGUCUUUAGUGUUUUACGCGUUAUAGACGCGCACCGAUAUAGCGUGCGCGAGUAAUAACAUUACUAUGAGGAUGUAGACGCGCCUUUAAUGCACUCGCGUCACUUUAAUCGAUUCCUAUCUGAAGGAGAGUUAGUGUUUGGUGCAGAGAUGUGGGGCUGUUGGGAUAUGGGAUUAUUUAUGGACUAUCAUUGGACUUUAAACUCUAAAGGGACACUCGCUUGAGCAGUGAACGGAGAAUAUCGCUGCUUUGCCAAGAUGCAUCAUCAGCCCAAAUCCGAUGGGACGCUUCAGCAUGCUGUCAUCUGUUCAGAUGGAGUGACAUUUGUCUGGGAGUCCGGGGAGUCCGGCCACACCAAACUGAACUGUGAACUUGCAACUUCCUGUGCUGUAGGCGUCUGUUGCUAGGAAACAAGUGGCCCACUCCGUCAAUUUCAGCUGGGGUGAAAUGUGAGUGUUUUUCUUCACUUUUUUCUAUGAGCUUUGGCUGGCCGUCUUUUAUUGAUGUACAGUUUCCUUUGAGUCGCAAUGAGACUUUCUGUGGGCCAGGACACUUUCAAAAGAGAGGAAAUGGGGGUGUGUUCGGAGGUCAAAUGCUCCCUUUUGUGGGGCUCCUGGGGGACAAUGACAGUGGGGUGAUGCUAUGUGGAGGCGAAGGGGUGAGCUCCUUUGGGACCGACAGGGGUAUAGCAGGUCUGGGGAGGGCAGAUGCUGCAUGCUGCCAGAGCCCAUGUGGAAAAGUCCAGUAUGAUAAUACGGCAGAGACCGAGAGAGAUCAUAAAUUUUUAACCAAGCUUCAUACUGUAUUCUCUUUAGCGCAGCAUAAGCAAACAAGCUCACCCCAGGGGCUGAAAUUUGAAUAAGCAAAUUCUUGCUCCUGAUGUUUUUAAUGAGUUCAGUGCAGAUGCAACAGAGUAGACUGGCUUUUUAUAGCAAUGAAAAACGAGGCCACAAAAUAAUUACUUACCCUGUCAAUAGAAUAUUUUCUUGUUUACAGGAGAGCAGGGAAGACUCUAACGCUAAAUAAAUCUGUAAUAAAAGCACAAUGCACUUACCCUUGUCAUAUCAGAAAUGCCACACUUGAUAUUGCAGGUCAUGACCACCCAUUGGGCUCGGAGGAGAGAGAUUCCCUGCACGCCGUCUCCUUGGAAUAUUAAUGGGCUUCUCCUGGGAAAACUGCCCACAGAAUAGGCCACUCCAUCGCUGUCUCUGUUUCCGCUCAGCUGUCCUGAGGGUACGUGAGGGUGUUCGGUACAAUCCGGUCUGGAGAAAACUCAAGUACACCUCAAACUUUUGUUUUGAUGUCUCAUUAAGAACUCUUGAAUGUUUCUUUUUUCCCCCUAUAAUGUCAGUAAAAUAUAUUACUGCUUUUAUUACACAAUAAAAAGCACAGGAACAGCUACAUUUAUGAUGUCAAAUUCCUCAGUCUCAACUUUAGAACCGUAAUCAGUAAUAAGACAUAUUGGUUGAAAUGAGGGGUCAUUAGCAUUUGGGAACAGAUCGUUCGAGCAUUGAGAGAGGUGACAAUGAUGCCGAUCACCACUGGUUUUCAUCACCGGAGCUGCAUACUUCUUUCCCACUCGAUGGCAGAAGCCGAGACAUCUCAUGUGUUUCGCCAUUAUGAGAGUGACCGUCCUAAUGGCUUCUACAGAUGGCAGAGAAAUUUUCCUUCAGUCCCUUUCACAUUCUUUAUCUGUAUUUGACUCUCUGUCACUUGCUUUCAGUCAUUCCACUAUUUCCUCUGCCCCGGUCUGGGUCUCUGAGGUGAGCGCUGAGUUUCUGGCACAUUUAUGUGAAGAAUCUGUUUUUAACAGCCUGCCAAGCUGUGAAUAUAAUAAGAUGAAUUUUAA